AAUGAACGUUGGCGGCGUGGAUUAGGCAUGCAAGUCGUACGAGAAGAGUCUUUUGCUUGCAUUGGACUCGGACAGUGGCGAAAGGGAGAGUAACGCGUGGUUAUGUACCUCGGAGACCGGGAUAGCGUUGGGAAACUGGCGGUAAUACCGGAUAAUAUCUAUGGAUCAAAUGGUGUGAUUCCGCUCUGAGAUCGGACCGCGUACUAUUAGCUUGUUGGUGAGGUAAUGGCUCACCAAGGCUGCGAUGGUUACCGGGUGUGAGAGCAUGGCCCGGCUCACUGGGACUGAGACACUGCCCAGACAUCUACGGAUGGCUGCAGUCGAGAAUCUUUGUCAAUGGGCGAAAGCCUGAACAAGCGACGCCGCGUGCGGGAUGAAGGCCCUCGGGUUGUAAACCGCUGUCAGUAGUUAGGAAAUCCUAUGGGGCACUCUCCAUAGGUUGACCGAUCUUCAGAGGAAGGACGGGCUAAGUUCG
rnacentral:rRNA from 1 species